CUAUGAUGAUUCAUUGCCUAUACAAGGAACUGCCCCAUACAUGGGGAAGGGGACGAAGCUGCAGGCCAUGCCUCAAGGGCAAAGCUGACUAGCUAUUUCAUCGGCAACACACAGUGCUCUCGCUUUCCACAGUGAUAGUGGGAGGCACUACCAGCCUACCGUCCCCACGUCGUCAGCACCACCACUACUUCUGCCUGCGGCACCAAAUGGGGGAGAGAGGAUAUUCCAUGUCACCGGCCACACACUCCACCCCGCUCAGCUGGGCUACCUCACAGAUCGUGUUGUCGGCGAUCGACACCGGUGAGGGCAGGCCGAACAUCGACAGCGAUCGAUAGGCCGUCGCAGAUUCCCCCGGUUUGAUGUUGUCCCCCUCUAGUGGCUAGCUUGGAGCUGCCCUUUCCCCUCCCUCCACUAGUACCCCUUGCCUCACUUCUGCAUGCACUUGAUGUGUAGUUGGAAAAAAGGAGGUUUUGAUGGUUGCCAAUAUCUUGUCCUAGGUUGAAAGGCCCUCAAAGUGGGGGUUUGUAGGGUUAGAAUUCGAUCGGCAUAGGCCAUGAUGCGCCGAUGAUGGGUAGAGUUGAAGUGAUGAGGCUAGCUAGUAGGAAAGGCACGAAAUUUCUUGUCCUGGAAACUAAAGCAGAUUCCCUGAUGAAUUCUGCUUUGCUGCAGGAUGAUACCUGCGUGUUCCCCCGUGCAAAAGUGUUUAGGCUUUUAUCCGGCUGGCCAAUUGUUGAUCCAACACAUUUGUCAGAAAAACCAUGAUAUAUGAUAGAUGCUGUUGCCUGUUGUUGCAGAUCAAUGGACUUGACUGCGCAUUCUUAGAAUUUGUUUUCAGGAAGCAGGCGUGGCGAUAAACUCAAUACGAAGCAGUUUGCCUGUUGUUAUGAAGAAAGGUUUUCUCCUUUUGCUUCAGAAACGACAUAAAUCGGCUACACAUUUAUUGA